CUCAGUAACGCGUAGUCAAUCUAACCUAUGGACGGGGAUAACCUCGGGAAACUGAGAAUAAUACCCGAUAGAACAUUAUGCCUGGAAUGGUUUAUGUUUCAAAUAAUUUAUUGCCGUAGGAUGGGACUGCGGCCUAUCAGUUUGUUGGUGAGGUAAUGGCCCACCAAGACUAUUACAGGUACGGGCUCUGAGAGGAGUAGCCCGGAGAUGGGUACUGAGGCACGGACCCAGGCCCUAUGGGGCGCAGCAGGCGAGAAAACUUUGCAAUGUGCGAAAGCACGACAAGGUUAAUCCGAGUGGUUUCUGCUAAAGGAACCUUUUGUUAGUCAUAGAACCACUAAUGAAUAAGGGGUGGGCAAGUUCUGGUGUCAGCCGCCGCGGUAAAACCAGCACCUCAAGUGGUCAGGAUGAUUAUUGGGCCUAAAGCAUCCGUAGCCUGCUUUGCCAGUUUUCGGUUAAAUCCAUACGCUCAACGUAUGGGCUGCCGGGAAUACUACAAAGCUAGGGAGUGGGAGAGGUAGACGGUACUCGGUAGGAAGGGGUAAAAUCCUUUGAUCUAUUGAUGACCACCUGUGGCGAAGGCGGUCUACCAGAACACGUCCGACGGUGAGGGAUGAAAGCUGGGGGAGCAAACCGGAUUAGAUACCCGGGUAGUCCCAGCUGUAAACUAUGCAAACUAGGUGAUGCAUUGGCUUGAUGCCAAUGCAGUGCCUCAGGGAAGCCGUUAAGUUUGCCGCCUGGGAAGUACGUACGCAAGUAUGAAACUUAAAGGAAUU
rnacentral:rRNA from 1 species